AGAGUUUGAUCCUGGCUCAGGACGACGCUGGCGGCGUGCCUAAUACAUGCAAGUCGGGCGAAUCUUUGCCUAGCUUGCUCCCAAAGGUUAGCGGCGGACGGGUGAGUAACACGUGGGUAACCUGCCUGUAAGACUGGGAUAACUCCGGGAAACCGGGGCUAAUACCGGAUAUGAUUUUAGUUCGCAUGAACUGAAAUGGAAAGGUGGCUUUUAGCUACCACUUACAGAUGGAUCCGCGGCGCAUUAGCUAAUUGGUGAGGUAACGGCUCACCAAGGCGACGAUGCGUAGCCGACCUGAGAGGGUGAUCGGCCACACUGGGACUGAGACACGGCCCAUACUCCUACGGGAGGCAGCAGUAGGGAAUCUUCCGCAAUGGACGAAAGUCUGACGGAGCAACGCCGCGUGAGUGAUGAAGGUUUUCGGAUCGUAAAGCUCUGUUGUUAGGGAAGAACAAGUACCGUUCGAAUAGGGCGGUACCUUGACGGUACCUAAACAGAAAGCCACGGCUAACUACGUGCCAGCAGCCGCGGUAAUACCUAGGUGGCAAGCGUUGUCCGGAAUUAUUGGGCGUAAAGCGCGCGCAUGCGGUUUCUUAAGUCUGAAGUGAAAGCCCACGGCUCAACCGUGGAGGGUCCUUGGAAACUGGGAGACUUGAGUGCAUACACAUGACACUGCAAUUUCCACUGUCGCGGUGGACUGCCAAGAUAUGUGCUACAAAACCAACGCGCUAACGGGACUGUCUGGUGUGGAACUCGUCGCACACGGCGCAUUAAAUUGGGGGAGCAUGACU
rnacentral:rRNA from 1 species